UUUCAGCGUUUCCCAGGGACGUUCCCUAGCGUCUCCCAGAGAUUCUGCGGAAGGACGUUGCUGAAGAGACAAGGGGAAUCCAAGACCUGAGGAGAGGAAACACCACCGUGGAUGGACCGCUCUGGAAGUUACCGAAUAGCCUAAACACAGGUUCGAAUCUCAGAUCGCUACUGAGAGUUUUAUGGCUUUGGGGAAGUCACGUAAAUCCUCUAAGCCAAGUUUCUCAUCUGUAUAAUGAGGUAAUCAUGCAUUUAUAAUAGAGAUGUAUCUACAAAGUGCUCUCAGGAGGAGAGUUAGUGAUGGAUAGAAGAUUACCCUGUUAGGGGAAAUGGAUGUGAGGAGCUGAAUAAGGAGGCCAGAGCUUUGACAGAUGAACCCAGGUGAUCUUCCACCUCCCCAAGAAGGCGGGGGCGGGGGCGGGGGCCUUCUUUCCUCCUGAGUGGGUAUGGACAGCUAGGCAAGGAAGAGACACUCGAGACUUUCCAGGAGGACUUGACCCCAGACAGCCGUUCCUAGGCGCACUGGAGACUGCUGAUCAGGGUGGUCACACCUUGUCUGUGCCUUGGCUGCUGGUCCGCCCAUCCUGAGGGAACCUGAGAAAUGGUGCUUCCUCCAGGGAACCAUCUUGAUGGGGAGACAAAAUCAAUUGUAGGAAGGACACUUCCUUGCAAGGAGGGGCAAGCUUGGCAUCUCAAUACCUAAGCUCUGUGGAGGACACUGUUUGGGACACCGCUGCUUGGAGAGGGUUCUCUCACUUGGGCCAGACCAGGGCAAACACUGGGAGUUGCCGAUUUAUGACUCUGUCCUUGCCGUCAGAACCCAGAGCGCCCAGGAGAUGAGAUGAACCGUAAUUGCUCCUAGGCAGCCAUAACAAUCCUGAUCGUCUUUGCCAAAUACUCAAUUUCCCAGCCUCCCUUGAAGUGGGAAGAGCCUAUGACUCAGCUCUAGCCCACAAAAUUUAAAGGGAACGGUGCUGUGGAACUUCUGGGAAAGGUUUUACUUUCAUGAUACAGUGCUGCUGCCUCAUUCACUUCACAGAGCUGUGGCUGCCGCCUUGUGGUAAAGAGGGAACAAUGUGCCACAGAUAGUGUAGGAAGGCAAGAAGUCUAGGUCCUUAAUGAACCAAGCCCUGUGACACUUAUGAUGCCUAUGUUCAGACUUUUUAUCAGGUGAGGAUGAAUAAACCACUCUUUGAGGUCCUGUAACUCAGGCUGCAUUACUUGUAGCAGAGUACAUUCCUGCUUGGGGAGCUUCAUGAGGAUGAGCAAAGGAAUGAUCAUAAAAAUCUGCUCCCUCCUUGAAGCACACUUGGGUCCCUUCUGCCUUUGGGGCCUCACCACUAAUUACAAAUUGGUUCUUACUGCUAAUUACAAACAUUUCACGUCUGUGUUCUGCCCUCAGACUUCAGCUCAUCACUGUAGGGUGGCUCAGGAUGCUGCAGGCUGCAUCUGGUUCUGUUGCCUCCCCUCCGCGUCUGCCACCUACACCACAGCUCAAGGCAACGCGGGAUCCUUAACCUGCUGAGUGAGGCCAGGGAUUGAACCAGCAACCUCAUGGUUCCUAGUCGGACUCGUUUCCACUGCACCGCGAGGGGAACUCCCAACAGAUUCUGAGCAGGAACUAGUUGGAGACCCUUUUGGCGACAGGCAGACCUGAAGAGAAAGCCCUGUCAGGCAGGAACGUGGAACCACUACUCCUCCUAGCCACAGGGAGGAGCUUGGGCUUUGGGCCAACCUCCAGGCACGGCCCAGUAAGCACCUCCAGUCUCAUGCCUCCUCUGGAAAAUGUUUACUCCAGCUUUGCCCUCCACACCUCCCUCACCCAGCCUCACCUUCACACCAGCAAAGGCACAAGCAAG
rnacentral:lncRNA from 1 species